CAGAGAGUAGUUUAAGGUAAAAUAUUAAUUUUGGAGAUUAAUGAUGGAAUUAAUUCUUUCUUUGA
rnacentral:tRNA from 1 species